GUGAAGCACUGAGGCAUGAGAACAUGAAGCCUGCAGGUGUCCAUGUGAGACCAGGGCCAGGGAGGGGAUAUAGGCUCUGAGGGAGCACGUACCAGGGGCCCAGAUGUCUGUAGGACGAGUGUCACAGAAGCUUCUUGGAGGAGGCGGUGGCUAAGCUGAGUUCUACAGGCUCAGCUCCCCACCAUGUGUAGAAGAAGCAGCCUUCCACAGGCUUCUCCACAGACUUUCCUUGGGCCCUCUCCUGGCUGGGCACGCCUGAGUCAGGGAACUGUUCGGAAUGCCUUCCAGGGAACAGCUGGAAACAGAAGGACCCCGGGAUUCCCCCUGCUCUGGGCUCUCAGGCUCCCCUGCAGGAUCGCAGCAUUGCCUGCAGGCAGAUGCCAGAGACUGGACUCCUUCCAUGAGUACAGGAACCACAUCUGCUUUGCUCACCACUCCAUGCCCAGUGUACCCGGCACAGGGUCUGGCACCUACACUGGGGCUCCUGAUUAACUGUGGGAUGACCGAAGGAACAAUGACUGGUUUACAUCUUCCAGGAGGCCAUCUCUGUGACCUCUCCUGGCCCUGGUCGAGCUCCUGGUCUUCCCUGUUUCCCUUCCCUGGGCCCCGCAAACAACUCAGUGGGAGCACUCAACCAGGUGCUGGGUGAUUUUCUUGCCUUCCUGUCUCUUCCUCCAGUGUGUGGCCUCCUCCAGUCCUGAGCCCGGCCUCUCCCCUCAGCCGCUCCAGCACGCACAGGCCCGGGCAGCUCAAUAAAUGUUGACUGAACUGUUGAAC
ensembl:lncRNA